UAUUCUGCCCCACGCGGAAGGAUGAAAACCUUUGCCCAAGGUUCGACUCGAGGGAAGCGAGAGAACGUUGCCGCAGGCAACAGCCCGAAGGGCGUAGCGCGUUAGCGCCGAGUAAUCCUUCCCCCCCCACUG
rnacentral:sRNA from 1 species